rnacentral:rRNA from 1 species
UACGGGGGGGGCAAGCGUUGUUCGGAAUUACUGGGCGUAAAGGGCUCGUAGGCGGCCAACUAAGUCAGACGUGAAAUCCCUCGGCUUAACCGGGGAAUGGCGUCUGAUACUGGAUGGCUUGAAUCCGGGAGAGGGAUGCGGAAUUCCAGGUGUAGCGGUGUAAAUGCGUAGAUAUCUGGAGGAACACCGGUGGCGAAGGCGGCAUCCUGGACCGGCAUUGACGCUGAGGAGCGAAAGCCAGGGGAGCAAACGGG